UGGGUCGUUAGCUCAGUUGGUAGAGCAGUUGACUUUUAAUCAAUUGGUCGCAGGUUCGAAUCCUGCACGACCCACCAG
rnacentral:tRNA from 1 species